rnacentral:rRNA from 1 species
UACGUAGGGAGCAAGCGUUGUUCGGAUUUACUGGGCGUAAAGCGCGUGUAGGCGGCUUUGCAAGUCGGAUGUGAAAGCCCACGGCUCAACCGUGGAAGUGCAUCCGAAACUGCAUGGCUCGAGUCUCGGAGAGGAAGGUGGAAUGCUUGGUGUAGAGGUGAAAUUCGUAGAUAUCAAGCAGAACACCUGCGGCGAAGGCGGCCUUCUGGACGAUGACUGACGCUGAGACGCGAAAGCGUGGGGAGCAAACAGG